UUUUUUCUAAAACAUAUUAUUUUUUUAUUUUUCGUUUGUGUAAACAACCAGAUUCGCUGCUCUCGCCUGGAAUUGCCGGUGGGCAUUCUCCCCGUCAACGCCUACCCGCCUAUAUAUAAACAUCCAUAUAUCUGUUUGAUAUUCAAAUUUCUGUAUUUUUUAAUUCUUCUGAUGAUGAGGACGAAAUCCUCGCACAUUUCAUGGAAUAAUUCUGUCCUCUCCACUCAGAAUAAGCAUCCAAGAAGCUUCACGAGAUUUCAAUGCUGAAGUUUGGCAAUACAUAUCACUUCAUUCUUGAAUUCAUCAAGUCCUUGCAUGGAAGUUUCUGACAACCUUUUCACAGCAAUGUCUUGUCCGUCUUCCAGUGUUCCCUAAGACCAUAAAUUGUGCAUUUGAAAAGGUAUUCACUUCAAUGAAACUUUACGUAGCGCAGGAUUUUUGUCAGCUGAAUUCAUGUUUUACUCUAGUUUAACAUGUCUCUUAGGCUAUACAAGAGAAGGACUUGAACAUUGGUACAGAUGUAUGUACAAAGCUGAUAUUAAUCUUUCACUCUCUGAUAAAACGCCUACUCGGAUAACAUUGAUAUCGUGUGAAUUGAAUUUGAGGAGAACAUCUCUUAUAGCAAGAGAAGCAAAUAUUUGAAUAUUA